rnacentral:rRNA from 1 species
CGGGCACUUUCGGGUGUCAGCGGCGGACGGGUGAGUAACGCGUGGGAACGUGCCUUCUGGUUCGGAAUAACUCAGGGAAACUUGAGCUAAUACCGGAUACGCCCUUUUGGGGAAAGGUUUACUGCCGGAAGAUCGGCCCGCGUCUGAUUAGCUAGUUGGUGGGGUAAUGGCCUACCAAGGCGACGAUCAGUAGCUGGUCUGAGAGGAUGAUCAGCCACACUGGGACUGAGACACGGCCCAG